GCCCUUGGCGAACGCCGGCUGAGCGCCUAUAUGGGUCCUUGUCGGGCUUCGGCCCGUCUAUGGCGAUAAAUGGCGUCGUGAAAUAGAUGCAGCGGACCCGGGGGCAGUACCCGGCGGCUCCACCAUCAGACCCCCGGUUGUCGCGGGUUGUGCGGGGCCGAACCAGGAUCGACGUGUGUUGAAAGACGAG
rnacentral:tmRNA from 1 species